rnacentral:lncRNA from 1 species
GAUGGAUGAAUAUGCGAUGAUAGGGACUUCAUCUGAAAGUGCAUCUAAAAGUGUUAGCUUAGCUGGUGCCAGAAUAAAGGCUCUUAAACACAUUGAGAGCUUCGUUACAACUUUCAUGGAACCUCAAGUCUUUGCAGCUGCUGCUUUAUCAUCAGCUCCGUCUAUGUUAGCACAAGUCUCAGAGAAAGUUAGAAUCCCGGAAGCUGGCCACUUGAGAUGCAGCGGCUCCGAGAUUGGAAGGUUUGUUACAAUGCUGCGGAACCCUUCUCCUAUACUCAAAGCAUGUGCAGCUUUUGCGCUUGUCCAGGUACUUAUAUAAGUGUGUGGUUUUAAAACCAGUUGCAGUUUGGUACUAACUUGUGAAAGUGCAGUUUACUAUACCUGGAGGUAGACAUGCAAUGCAUCAUGCCAGCUUGAUGCAGAACGCUGGAGAAGCGAGGAUCUUGCGUUCUGCAGCUGCGGCUGCGAACAUGCCUCGUGAGGCUAAGAUAUUUGCGAAGAUUGUGCUUAGGAAUCUGGAGCAUCAUCACCAGGCAGAAUGUUCAAAAGGAAAGAAAAGUGUCAUCUUAUAAUAGGAUUUGAUGAGGCUUUUGUUUUAUUAGCAUAUUUGUUUUAGUGAAUAGAAGAAUGUAUCUCUCCAAAACAUAUACAUGUCAAGAGAAAGGCUUAUCGCUGCAAAACACAAAAAAACCAUCAAAGACUUUUGGGUCUCAGAAGAUGUGUUUGGACAAAGGAAGGUGUUGUGAUACUAUAUAGUCUGUGGACUUAUUAUGUUUAUUUAUCUCCUUCUGAGGUAUUUUUCUGUAAUAAAAGACCUUAGGGAUUGUUAUGAUUGGUGUUCUUUUUCCCAUUUGUGUAGGCUCUGUUCAUUUCUUGUGACAAAUCUUAGCUUUUUUAUUCAUAAAAUACAAACUAAUCAUUUGUAUUUCUUCUUAUGUCAGAUACUGUGAGAUGAUUAAGUAAAAUCUCAUCAAUCUCCUUAUAUGAUAGACUCAGCAUGCCUUAGUAUCCUUCUUGUUACUAGGAAGCUCUGCUUCUCUUUUGGUAUUGGUGUUGAUAGGCUCUCUCCUCCACCUAAUAGGCUAGUCCAAGCCCAUUCUUGGGUGAUAAGAUGGCUCAGUAUGCACUUGUAAGGUCUCCUUGGUGCGUCUUCAGGCUGUGCUACAAGAAUGUUGCAAUCUCUGGCUUUCCAAUCCUUGAGAAAAGAUGCAUAAGAUACUCAACCAAAAACAGUGCAGCUUCAUCCGCAUACUUAUCCCCUGAAACCUAUUAAUACAGACAUAUAGGGGGUUAUUGGUUGGGUUCAAAAUACUUAUGUAACUGUGUUGUCGUAUAUAACGUUAUUCAAUAAAAAAAGAUGGCGACAUAAUGGGGGUGAUUGGUUGGGCUUUAUCUCCGUUUUUUUUUUUGGGUCAAUUGAAGCUACAUAUACUAAUUUAUCAUAAAAAUAAAACUUCAAAAUAUUCAAAGAACAUUUGUAAUAUUAUGGAAAAAAAAUUAUUUACUUUACAAAAAUUGGGAAGAAAAGAGGAGUGGUAAUUGGUAAUAUAUAAUGUACCGUGCAAAGGAGGUGAUUGAUGCUCUUUUACAAUCUCAAUUUUGCCUAUAUGAGCUUUCUCUCUUCUCGUUUCAACACCGUCUCUCUCUCUCUCUUCACCUUCAUUCCCCAAUUCCUCAGAUUCUUCCUUCUCUGCCGCUGAGAAUAAAUUCACACAAAGUUCCUCUCUUUUGCCCCAAAGGUGAUUACUUUAACGUGUUUUGAUUAUACCCUUUUGCGUAUUUGAUGUGUUGGAGAGUUUUUCUCUGCGCUCUUUGCUUGAAUUCUCUCCGACCCUCAUCACUCUUUCACCUUUUGAAUCCAUUGGAGUUUCUCUGUAUUGAAUUGGAACCGAAAGGCCAGAGCUUUUGCUUGUCUUAGUCCUUAUCUCUUCGAGGGUUUUUGUCGAGCAUUGGUUUGGUUUCUAUUUGGGAUCUAAAUUUGAGUCCUUUUGAUCUCUUCCUUGACAGGUCUUGUAGGAUCUCUAUGAUGAUGAUGAUGCUUUGAUGUUUGUAGCUUCAAUAGGAUCCGGUCAAGACAUGAGUCGCAGGGUGCGUCAGAGAGUGGAGGAGAAUGGAUUAGUUUCACCAAGUUGUUGUCCUGUGAUUGGAGAUGAGGAUUUAGCACCAAAGGCUCAACACUAUGUGGAUUGGACUAGUCUGUCUUACGACACUGUGCUUCUUCUGUUCACUCGGUUGAACUACCGAGACAGAGCUAGCUUAGCAUCCACCUGCAGGACAUGGAGAAGCCUUGGCGCUUCCUCUUGUCUCUGGAGUUCAUUAGAUCUCCGUCCCCACAAGUUUGAUCUCUCAAUGGCCUCUUCUCUCGCAGCUAGGUGUGUUAACCUUCACAAGGUUCGCUUCAGGGGCCUUGACUCUGCUGACGCAAUAGUCAACCUCAGAGCGAGGAACCUGAAGGAGAUAAGCGGCGACUAUUGCAGGAAGAUAACAGAUGCUACAUUGUCUAUGAUCGCUGCGCGCCAUGAGGCUCUUGAGAGCCUCCAGCUUGGACCAGACUUCUGCGAGAGGAUCACUAGCGACGCUGUUAAAGUCAUUGCCUUCUGCUGUCCGAAGCUUAGAAAGCUCAGGCUUUCUGGUAUGAGAGAUGUUAACUCCGAGGCUAUUGAGUCUUUGGCUAAACACUGUCCUCAGCUCAGUGAUGUUGGAUUCUUGGAUUGUCUGAACAUUAAUGAGGAAGCAUUGGGGAAAGUGGUCUCUCUUCGCUACCUCUCUGUUGCAGGGACGAUAAGCAUGAACUGGAGAGUUGCAGCAGAGAGCUGGGAGAAGCUUCCGAGGCUAACAGCUCUGGAUGCUUCUAGAACUAGCGUUGACCAUGUAGCGGUUUCAAGGCUGUUUAAAUCGUCUCAGAGCUUGAGAGUUGUGUGUGCUUUGAACUGCCCUUUGCUUGAACACGAUGUGAACUUCAAAGGAAAGCUCCUGAUUGCUAAAUUCGACGAUAACUCAAAGACGCCAAAGGAUAUGUUCUCUCACUGGAGAGAUCUGAUAAGCAAUGAGGAAACAAUGCGUUGGAUUGAAUGGAUCAUCUCUCAUUCCCUUCUACGAAUGGCAGAGAGCAACUCUCAAGCAUUAAACAACUUCUGGCUUAACCAUGGAGCUAAGCUGCUUCUCAGGCUAAUGGAAAGCUCGCAAGAAGAUGUACAAGAGAGAGCAGCCACAGGACUCGCCACUUUCAUCGUUGUGGACGAUGAGAACGCGAGCAUAGACUGCGGAAGAGCAGAAGCGGUUAUGAGAGACGGAGGCAUCAAGCUUCUUCUGAAACUAGCCAAGUCUUGGCGAGAAGGUCUUCAGUCAGAAGCUGCGAAGGCUAUUGCGAACUUGUCGGUGAACGCUAACGUUGCAAAGGCUGUUGCUGAGGAAGGAGGGAUCGAUGUGCUCGCUGGUUUGGCGAAGUCUAUGAAUAGACUUGUGGCUGAGGAAGCUGCUGGUGGACUGUGGAAUCUCUCUGUUGGAGAAGAGCACAAGGUACUAAUAAAGAGUUGUUUAAAACACACACAUGAAUGAACUUUUUGACUCUCUAACUAACAUUGUUGUUUAUUUAUUUUUUUAUAAUUUAGAAUCAAAUUGCUAAAGCUGGAGGUGUGAAUGCAUUAGUGAAGCUUAUAUUUAGAUGGCCAAAUGGCUGUGAUGGAGUUCUGGUACGCUCUUGCCACCUUAAUGGCCUCACAACUUUUGGCUAAGUACUAUCAAAACUAGUACUUGGUUGGUUACACACAUAUUUAUAUUCUACUCUUCUUUGUCUUGAUUAGGAGCGUGCUGCUGGGGCAUUAGCUAACUUAGCAGCAGAUGAUAAAUGUAGCACGGAAGUUGCAAGAGCAGGAGGUGUGCAUGCGUUAGUGAUGUUGGCUCGAAACUGCAAGUAUGAAGGAGCACAAGAACAGGUACUUCCUUGUUCUGAAAUGCACAUGUUAUUGUCUGAGUAAUGGAUGCUAGUGAUUGUCUGAAUUGGGUUUGUGACAAAUUGUCUUUUUGUUUCAGGCGGCUCGUGCUUUGGCUAACUUGGCUGCUCAUGGUGAUAGCAACAACAACAAUGCUGCUGUGGGACAAGAGGCUGGUGCCUUAGAAGCUCUUGUUCAGCUGACGAAAUCGCCUCAUGAAGGUGUUCAACAAGAAGCUGCUGGUGCUCUCUGGAAUUUGUCAUUUGAUGACAAGAAUAGAGAAUCCAUUGCUGCAUUUGGUGGUGUUGAAGCCUUGGUAACAUGUUUCCUUUUAUUUUCAUUAAUGUGUGUUCACCUUACAUCUUCAGGAAACUUAUCACUUUGUUUAUUGAUUAUAUAUAUUAGGUGGCACUCGCCAAGUCCUGUUCAGAUGCAUCCACAGGUCUGCAAGAGAGAGCAGCUGGCGCUCUUUGGGGUCUCUCAGUCUCAGAAGCAAACAGGUUCAACCAUUUGAAAUUUUUUAUUAAUUUAAAAGUGAUUUACCUAACACCUUAAUGAUAACUCUUUCGUCUUUCUAUCAGCAUUGCAAUUGGACAAGAAGGUGGUAUACCACCUCUAAUUGCUCUUGCAGGAUCUGAAGCUGAGGUAAAAAAAAACAUUUUUGUUUCCUCAUAAGCUUGUCAUGUCCUCUGGUCUUUUGUGUUAUAAUCUAAUCCAUCUUUUUACCUUUUUUUUCCAAGGAUGUACAUGAAACUGCUGCAGGAGCUCUCUGGAACCUUGCUUUCAACCCUGGUAAUGCUCUCCGCAUUGUGGCUGAAGGAGGAGUUACAGCGCUUGUUCACCUCUGUUCCUCUUCUGUUUCCAAAAUGGCUCGUUUCAUGGCAGCAUUGGCAUUAGCAUACAUGUUUGAUGGAAGGUACUCAAAAGCUUCAUAUCCACAUUCAAGAUUACAUUUCUCUCUUUUGGUGCCUAAGCCUUAUCUUAUCUACACAGGAUGGAUGAAUAUGCGAUGAUAGGGACUUCAUCUGAAAGUGCAUCUAAAAGUGUUAGCUUAGCUGGUGCCAGAAUAAAGGCUCUUAAACACAUUGAGAGCUUCGUUACAACUUUCAUGGAACCUCAAGUCUUUGCAGCUGCUGCUUUAUCAUCAGCUCCGUCUAUGUUAGCACAAGUCUCAGAGAAAGUUAGAAUCCCGGAAGCUGGCCACUUGAGAUGCAGCGGCUCCGAGAUUGGAAGGUUUGUUACAAUGCUGCGGAAC